CCUCCAGGCCCUGCCUUCUGCCUGCACAUUCUGCCCUGAUUUCCGGAACCUGGAAGCCUAGGCAGGCAGUGGGGAACUCUGACUCGCCUGUGCUCUGGAGCUUGAUCCGAAAGCUUCCACAGUGAGGACUGCUCCGUGGGGGGUAAGAGAGCACCAGGCACUGAGGCCUGGGAGUUCCACAGACCAACACCCCUGCUCCUGGCGGCUCCCACCCGGGACUUAGACCCUCAGGUCCCUAAUAUCCCGGAGGUGCUCUCAAUCAGAAAGGGUCCUGCUCCGCUUCGCAGUGGAAUGGAACGGAUUUAGAAGCCUGCAGUAGGGGAGUGGGGAGUGGAGAGAGGGAGCCCAGAGUUACAGACGGCGGCGAGAGGGAAGGAGGGGCGUCUUUAUUUUUUUAAGGCCCCAAAGAGUCUGAUGUUUACAAGACCAGAAAUGCCACGGCCGCGUCCUGGCAGAGAAAAGGCUGAAAUGGAGGACCGGCGCCUUCCUUAUAAGGUAUGCACAUUGGCGAGAGAAGUGCUGCAACCUAAACCAGCAAUUACACCCAAGGCUCGUUGGGGCCUAAGCCAGUACCGACCUGGUAGAAAAAGCAACCACGAAGCUAGAGAGAGAGCCAGAGGAGGGAAGAGAGCGCCAGACGAAGGUGAAAGCGAACCACGCAGAGAAAUGCAGGCAAGGGAGCAAGGCGGCAGUUCCCGGAACAAACGUGGCAGAGGGCAAGACGGGCACUCACAGACAGAGGUUUAUGUAUUUUUAUUUUUUAAAAUCUGAUUUGGUGUUCCAUGAGGAAAAGGGAAAAUCUAGGGAACGGGAGUACAGAGAGAAUAAUCCGGGUCCUAGCUCGCCACAUGAACGCCCAGAGAACGCUGGAAAAACCUGAGCGGGUGCCGGGGCAGCACCCGGCUCGGGUCAGCCACUGCCCCACACCGGGCCCACCAAGCCCCGCCCCUCGCGGCCACCGGGGCUUCCUUGCUCUUCUUAUCAUCUCCAUCUUUAUGAUGAGGCUUGUUAACAAGACCAGAGAGCUGGCCAAGCACCUCUAUCUCAGCCGCGCCCGCUCAGCCGAGCAGCGGUCGGUGGGGGGACUGGGAGGCGCUAAUUAAUUGAUUCCUUUGGACUGUAAAAUAUGGCGGCGUCUACACGGAACCCAUGGACUCAUAAACAAUAUAUCUGUUGGGCGUGAGUGCACUGUCUCUCAAAUAAUUUUUCCAUAGGCAAAUGUCAGAGGGUUCUGGAUUUUUAGUUGCUAAGGAAAGAUCCAAAUGGGACCAAUUUUAGGAGGCCCAAACAGAGUCCGUUCAGUGUCAGAAAAUGCUUCCCCAAAGGGGUUGGGAGUGUGUUUUGUUGGAAAAAAGCUUGGGUUAUAGGAAAGCCUUUCCCUGCUACUUGUGUAGACCCAGCCCAAUUUAAGAAUUACAAGGAAGCGAAGGGGUUGUGUAGGCCGGAAGCCUCUCUGUCCCGGCUGGAUGCAGGGGACUUGAGCUGCUCCGGAAUUUGAGAGGAACAUAGAAGCAAAGGUCCAGCCUUUGCUUCGUGCUGAUUCCUAGACUUAAGAUUCAAAAACAAAUUUUUAAAAGUGAAACCAGCCCUAGCCUUUGGAAGCUCUUGAAGGUUCAGCACCCACCCAGGAAUCCACCUGCCUGUUACACGCCUCUCCAAGACACAGUGGCACCGCUUUUCUAACUGGCAGCACAGAGCAACUCUAUAAUAUGCUUAUAUUAGGUCUAGAAGAAUGCAUCUUGAGACACAUGGGUAACCUAAUUAUAUAAUGCUUGUUCCAUACAGGAGUGAUUAUGCAGUGGGACCCUGCUGCAAACGGGACUUUGCACUCUAAAUAUAGACCCCAGCUUGGGACAAAAGUUGCAGUAGAAAAAUAGACAUAGGAGAACACUUAAAUAAGUGAUGCAUGUAGACACAGAAGGGGUAUUUAAAAGACAGAAAUAAUAGAAGUACAGAAGAACAGAAAAAAAAUCAGCAGAUGGAGAUUACCAUUCCCAAUGCCUGAACUUCCUCCUGCUAUUAAGAUUGCUAGAGAAUUGUGUCUUAAACAGUUCAUGAACCCAGAAGAAUGCAAUUUCAAUGUAUUUAGUACACACACAGUAUGUAUAUAAACACAACUCACAGAAUAUAUUUUCCAUACAUUGGGUAGGUAUGCACUUUGUGUAUAUAUAAUAAUGUAUUUUCCAUGCAGUUUUAAAAUGUAGAUAUAUUAAUAUCUGGAUGCAUUUUCUGUGCACUGGUUUUAUAUGCCUUAUGGAGUAUAUACUCACAUGUAGCUAAAUAGACUCAGGACUGCACAUUCCUUGUGUAGGUUGUGUGUGUGUGGUGGUUUUAUGCAUAAAUAAAGUUUUACAUGUGGUGAAUAUAC
rnacentral:lncRNA from 1 species